rnacentral:rRNA from 1 species
GAUGAGCGCUGGCGGCGUGCUUAACACAUGCAAGUCGAACGAUUGAAGCUGGAGCUUGCUCCGGCCGAUUUAGUGGCGGACGGGUGAGUAACGCGUGGGUAACCUGCCUCAUACAGGGGGAUAGCAGUUGGAAACGACUGGUAAAACCGCAUAAGCGCACGGUGUCGCAUGACACAGUGUGAAAACACUCCGGUGGUAUGAGAUGGACCCGCGUCUGAUUAGCUAGUUGGUGAGGUGACGGCCCACCAAGGCGACGAUCAGUAGCCGGCCUGAGAGGGUGAACGGCCACAUUGGGACUGAGACACGGCCCAAACUCCUACGGGAGGCAGCAGUGGGGAAUAUUGCACAAUGGGGGAAACCCUGAUGCAGCGACGCCGCGUGAGUGAUGAAGUAUUUCGGUAUGUAAAGCUCUAUCAGCAAGGAAG